rnacentral:lncRNA from 1 species
AAGAAUCAAGAGAAUGAUCAAGCUAGAGUUUCCAAACCCAAGUGGAUCAAAGAGUUCGCCAUUUUCUUAAAUAUUGAGGGUAAGUGGAUCAACCUUAAGAUUCCUUAAAUCUACCUCCAUUUCUUGAUGGAAGAAAACAAGAAAAUCAAACCCCUCCAUCAUUUCUCUAAUUUUCAAAAAUUGGGGGUAUUUUUACCCUUCAAAUAUUUUCACUUUCUUUUCUUAAAUCGAGGCAAUAAUUAUGUAAUUGAGAACCUAUUAAGUUGAUAUCCAUGAGUUUUUAAAAGGAUUAGAAAGGAUUUUGAAUUUUCAAAGAGUUUAGUUUGCUAAAUUUGGGAAGUUUUGGAUUUGAGGUUGAUUGAUGAAUUGAUGGAUGAUAUAUGCUAUUGUGAGUGUUUAUAUGAGAUUUGAUGGAUUGGAUUGAUGGUUGAAAUUGAUUAGUAAUUUUUGAUAUGAGUUAGUUUGAUGUAAUUUGGGUAAAAUUGAUUCUAUGGUUUAAUUUACUAAUUGAUUGCUUAUUUAUGCUAUUAAGUGUGCCAAUUUGAUUAAUCUAAGGUUGGAUUAAUGAUUUAUGUAUGUUUGUAUAUUUUCAAAAAGUUUAGUUUGAUAAAAAAUUGGGACUUUGUGAUCUAUGUGUUAAUUGAUUAAAUUGGCUAAGUUUAAUUGUUAUUAUUAAGCAUGAUAGAAAUGAUAAUUAGGGAUCAAUUUGGUUAAUUGUCAAGAAUGCCUAAAAUUGGUUAAGUUUAGUUUGCUAAUAAUUGGGAACUUUUGAUUAAUGAGAUAAAUACUUGAAUUGAUGAUGUUUAUAUGUUAGUUAGACUACUAGCAAGGAGAAAGCAUGAUUAAUUUGGUUAAUGAUGUUGAUUUGUGAAAAUUUCUCGAGUUUAGUUUGCGUGCAUACAUGAGAUCUUGUAUAUAAGAUGAGUUAUGAGUCGAGCAUGUUUAUAUAUGGCUAUUUGAUGAUAAAUUGAGCUUGUAUAUGCGAUAUGAGACGAAACGGACCAACUCCUAAUGACUUAUGUGUUGGCCGAAUGUAAGGAGAAAAAGGGGAAGUCGAUGUUUGAAUUUUCUUGAGUUAUAUGAUCAUGUAUUUAUGUUAUUGUGAUUUAUAUGAGCUUAAUUUGAAUUUUUGAGAAUUUUUCAUCGAAGAAGUCCGGAAUUUAGGUAUAUUUGCUUUAUGCUCAAGUUUGGAGUUAAUUUGAGAACCUUUUUAAAGGAUACUGACCUACUAUUUUCGACGCGAUUUUGAUAUCCAAAAGCCAUGAAAAUUUUAUGGUAAGUAUUUGAGAGUUUUGAGCACACCGGUAAAAUUUCAAGCCAUUCCAACUUCGUUUGAUAUUUCUUUAAAAUGCAAAACCUAAACUGCACAUUACUACCGAGAAUUUCAGAGAACAGGGGAAAGAGUCUUUCAUUUCAGUAGCUUCCUGUGUGAUAUAGAUUUCCAAAUUUUUAUGGUAUUAACCUUAUUGUGUUAGCUAGAUAUCCACCAAAUUUGAGCCCAGUUUGACAACGUUUACUAUUUUUCAAAAAUCAAAGUUUUCGAUUGCCCAAAACUGCCGAAUAUGGUAGAUCGUGGUAAAAACGUCAUAUCUCUCAAACCACUUGGAGUUUUCGACUCUACUUUUUUUUAUAUGAAACUAGACUUGAAGAUCUUUCUUUCAGUAUGAGUCUCGAGUCCAGGAGAUGUCGGAGUCAGAACAGAUUAAAAUUUGAAGUUGAAUCAAUGUAAAAACAGAGCAUGUUUUAAUGAUGUUUGAUUGUGAUUCUUAUGUGCCUUAUGUGAUUGUGUUGUCUAUGUGUUUGAAUGAGAUUAGACGAGCCUUAUAUGAGAGAUAAAUCGAGACUUAGUACCAUGAUUUUCUUGAAACCUAUCCUUGAACUUAAGGAUUUGAGAUGAGUGGAGAGUUUAUAUAGAGUUGAGUAAGGAGAUAGAAUAUGAGAUAGAGCAUGAGUUAAGGCUUUAUGAGUAUGGAUUUUAAAAGGAUUAAAAUGUUUUAAAUCAAUUCCAUUUUAAUGGAGUUUAAAAUGCUUAUUUAGGUCAUUUAUAAAUGAAUAAUGGAAUUUCGUAUUUAUUUACAUGGAAAUGAAAUGUAUAGAAUGUUAUAAGAUGGUGCAUGAUUAUUAUCUCUUAUGUGAACAUGUGAAUUUCUAAAUGAUAUUAAGUUUAAGGAUGUUGAAUUCUUUUAUUUUGUUUGUUAUGUGGUUACGUGAUAUUAUGUGGUUAGUCGAUGUUAUAUUGGUUUUUGAUUGUUUUAAUCGAAACGACUUAUGGAUGCUAGAACCCUAAAACACUAAAAGGUACCCUAAGCACGUAGAAUUAGACUUUGUCUUGUGACAAUUUUCUUCACGAACUUACCGACUCUUCAUCAAUAAAGGUCCGGACGACAGGAAGUGAAGCCGAAGAAGAAGCGACUCCACGCUAGCUUAAGAACGUUUGAGGUGGGCAUUACUUUUACUAUACGUAUAUAGAGAUCCCCUGCGUGUCGUAGGCCUCUUAUACGAAUAUAUGCAUGAGAUGAUUUUAACUGUUAAUUUCAGUUUAUUAUUAUGCCCAAAUGAUAAAUGACUCUUAUGAAAUGAAAAUGAAAUGUUUAUGAAAUGAAAUGAAAUGUUUAUGAAAUGAUUGACUGCCAAAAAUAUUUAUGUUUUACGUAUGUAUCCUAUCUGUGUUGGUUCGCCAACUUUAAAGGAAAUCCAAUUGGGAUCCUAUGCUAGACAAAGGUCGCUAGCUAGGGUUAACGUGUACACUCAUGGAGACCGCGAGUCGCUUGCGACCGGUCUUGGCGUCCGUGGUAAGGAGGCCUCCUUCCCGAUGCGUGACAGAAAGGAACAGAUAUGGAUCAUAUGAAGGAAAAUGGGUCGGCCGGCCAAUCUUAUGAAAAUGAAAGAAAUAUUUUAGUAAGCGCAGGUCUUUCAAGAAAACCCCUGUGUGUUACUGUUAUGGCAGUUCAAUUUUUAUAUGUUAUGCAUGAUUGUAUUUUCGGCAUAUGUCCACUGAGUAUUUUUAUACUCAACCCUGCAUGUAUUUCUAAAUGUGCAGGUUGAGCAGCUGAUGGAAUGGAAUGGUGUUGAGCGGGUGUUCCUUUGAUCAUUUCAAGAAAUG